rnacentral:tRNA from 1 species
AGUCUUAUAUUCAUGUUUUGUGAUUACAGAAUGCAAUUCUGUGGGGGUAGGUUUAAAGACUACUAAGGCUU